CAACGGAUCUCUUGGCUCUCGCAACGAUGAAGAACGCAGCGAAAUGCGAUAAGUAGUGUGAAUUGCAGAAUUCAGUGAAUCAUCGAAUCUUUGAACGCACAUUGCGCCCUCUGGUAUUCCGGAGAGCAUGCCCGUUUCAGAAUCAUUAAAAAUCUCACAUCUAUUGUUGUAAAAAGCAAUGGGAUCGUGGAUUUGGAUGUUUUGUCCUUACCAACAAUCAUCUUAAAAUGAUAGUAUGUGCGCCGACAAAUCGAGAAGUCGAUCGGUACCAAAGUGCAACAGAUUUGUCUAUUACUCUUUGGCUGAUUGCUUUGACGUUGACUGGAGCAUGUUCCCAAUCUAUUAACGAUGUUCAUUUCAUUUUGAUGUGACCAUUGAUAACUUGGUCUGAAAUCGGGCAAGAAAACCCGCUGAACUUAAGCAUAUCAAUAAGCGGAGGA
rnacentral:rRNA from 1 species